AUACGUAGGGGGCGAGCGUUAUCCGGAAUUAUUGGGCGUAAAGAGUACGUAGGUGGUUGCGUAAGCGGCAGGUGAAAGCCCGGGGCUUAACUCCGGCGAGCCUGUCGAACUGCGCGAAUUGAGUGCAGGAGGGGUAAGUGGAAUUCAUAGAGUAGCGGUGAAAUGCGUAGAUAUUAGGAGGAACACCAGUGGCGAAGGCGACUUUCUGGACUGUAACUGACACUGAGGUACGAAAGCGUGGGGAGCAAACAGGAUUAGAUACCCUGGUAGUCCACGCUGUAAACGAUGAGCACUAGGUGUUGGCAUAGAAAUAUGUCGGUGCCGCAGUUAACGCAAUAAGUGCUCCGCCUGGGGAGUACGCACGCAAGUGUGAAACUCAAAUGAAUUGACGGGG
rnacentral:rRNA from 1 species